rnacentral:snoRNA from 1 species
GAGGGCAGUGGAAUAAUGAAAAUGGUGGAGAGCAAUCAAAAAUUUGGUUAGGAGAAAAGUGGUAGUUGGUGGAGAAAGGAGGGCAAGAAGUGUAAACAUGUUUACAUUUCUUACCCUCCUUUCUCCACCAACUACCACUUUUCUCCUAACCAAAUUUUUGAUUGCUCUCCACCAUUUUCAUUAUUCCACUGCCCUCU